CUAUAGGGGUUGGCUCAGUACUACUGUCUAUAGGGGUUGGCUCAGCAUUACUGUCUAUAGGGGUUGGCUCAGCAUUACUGUCUAUAGGGGUUGGCUCAGUACUACUGUCUGUAGGGGUUGGCUCAGUACUACUGUCUAUAGGGGUUGGCUCAGCACUACUCUCUAUAGGUGUUGGCUCUGCAUUACUGUCUAUAGGGGUUGGCUCAGUACUACUGUCUUUAGGGGUUGGCUCAGUACUACUCUCUAUAGGGGUUGGCUCAGUAUGACCGUCUAUAGGGGUUGGCUCAGUACUACUGUCUAUAGGGGUUGGCUCAGUAUUACUGUCUAUAGGGGUUGGCUCAGUACUACUGUCUAUAGGGGUUGGCUCAGUAUUACUGUCUAUAGGGGUUGGCUCAA